GGAGUUAAGAAAUGUAGGUGUGCUAAUAUCACAUCUAUUUGACGAAGGCUCCAAAGGAAGUCACGGCUAACUCUGUGCCAGCAGCCGCGGUAAUACAGAGGUGGCAAGCGUUGUUCGGAAUUAUUGGGCGUAAAGAGCACGUAGGUGGGUUUGUAAGUCAGAUGUGAAAGCCUCCUGUUCAACGGGAGAAUUGCAUCUGAAACUGCUGAUCUUGAGUGUAGGAGGGGAGAGUG
rnacentral:rRNA from 1 species